rnacentral:rRNA from 1 species
CAAGCGUUGUCCGGAUUUAUUGGGCGUAAAGCGCGCGCAGGCGGUCUUUUAAGUCUGAUGUGAAAGCCCCCGGCUUAACCGGGGAGGGUCAUUGGAAACUGGAAGACUGGAGUGCAGAAGAGGAGAGUGGAAUUCCACGUGUAGCGGUGAAAUGCGUAGAUAUGUGGAGGAACACCAGUGGCGAAGGCGACUCUCUGGUCUGUAACUGACGCUGAGGCGCGAAAGCGUGGG